rnacentral:lncRNA from 1 species
GGUUCAAGAGAAAUCCUUGAUUUAGGGUGGGGAGAUGGUUUUCUGUAACUUCAGUUGAUUUUGUUUCUGUAGCAGGAAUCAGGAUUGUGCUUUAUUGAGCCUGAAGUUACAUUGAAUUUUAGGUAUAUUGUAUGCUGCUAAGAUAUGCUUAGUUGAGUUUAUCAAAUUUUUUUUUUCCUGGAAGACACUGCUGCUUUUUGCCAUCACAUCGGAGCCAAAAACCACAUACAUCUCAGUAGAUAGUUAGUUUUAUUUAAGAAAAAUAACCCAAGGGGGUGAGUGACAUUUUAAAGGUCAUUAAUAUUUACUUUGGUGCACUUUAAGAAACAAUGUACAGACUAUUUCAGUCAUGUUUUUCAGAAUUGCUUUUAUACAUGACAUGUUGUGCUUUAGGAAACAUUGCAUUAUUUCUAGCAAGAUAGUUAAAAAAAUGUUUUAUCUGCAUGUACAGUUUUAAAGGAGAGAACAUAAAAAUAGAGAACUUUUUCUAAGCACAAUAGUGAAUCUUUAGAGAAAUAGGGCAGAGUUGAGAAGAUGGAGCACCCUCAAAAAUGUAAAUGAAAUGCAGAGAGCCUGUGGCUGGUGGGGGCUGUGCUGAUUCCUUUUACUCACCGAUUCUCUGAGUUCAGUAGGG